rnacentral:rRNA from 1 species
GAUGAACGCUGGCGGCGUGCCUAAUACAUGCAAGUCGAGCGAACAGACGAGGAGCUUGCUCCUCUGACGUUAGCGGCGGGCGGGUGAGUAACACGUGUAUAACCUACCUAUAAGACUGGGAUAACUUCGGGAAACCGGAGCUAAUACCGGAGAAUAUAUUGAACCGCAUGGUUCAAUAGUGAAAGACGGUUUUGCUGUCACUUAUAGAUGGAUCCGCGCCGCAUUAGCUAGUUGGUAAGGUAACGGCCUACCAAGGCAACGAGGCGUGGCCGACCUGAGAGGCGGAUAGCCGACCCUGGAACUGGGACGCCGACCAGAGUACUACGGGAGGCAGCAGUAGCGAACCUUCCGCAAUGGUCGAAAGCCUGACGGAGCAACGCCGCGUGAGUUAUGAAGGUCUUCGGAUCGUAAAACUCUGUUACUAGGUAAGAACAAAUGUGUCAGUAACUAUGCACGUCUUGACGGUACCUAAUCAGAAAGCCACGGCUAACUACGUG